rnacentral:rRNA from 1 species
UACGUAGGGGGCUAGCGUUGUCCGGAAUCAUUGGGCGUAAAGCGCGCGUAGGCGGCCCGGUAAGUCCGUUGUAAAAGUCAAAGGCUCAACCUUUGAAAGCCGAUGGAUACUGUCGGGCUAGAGUCCGGAAGAGGCGAGUAGAAUUCCUGGUGUAGCGGUGGAAUGCGCAGAUAUCAGGAGGAAUACCCAUAGCGAAGGCAGCUCGCUGGGACGGUACUGACGCUGAGGCGCGAAAGCGUGGGGAGCGAACAGG